GAUUCACUUUUGCAGACAGAGUGCCUGGUUGGGAGAGCCAGGUGAUUAAUCUGGUAAAAAGACAAAAGACCAGGUUCAAACUCUGCUUUCUUAAUUCAGGAUUUCCUCAGUGUAACAAUAUGUUCGUUUUAACUCCAGCCAUCACAUUCAUGUCCUAGGCAAGGAUGAGUAAGAAGGACUGUCCUACCCAGACAAAUGGUUUGAUUGCUUAUUACAAGAACUUUCCCAGGAUACAAGGUUAAUAUACAAAAGUCAUUUGCUUUCCUAUAUACCAGCA